GGCCCACCAAGGCGACGAUCGGUAGCCGGACUGAGAGGUUGAACGGCCACAUUGGGACUGAGACACGGCCCAGACUCCUACGGGAGGCAGCAGUGGGGAAUAUUGCACAAUGGGGGAAACCCUGAUGCAGCGACGCCGCGUGGAGGAAGAAGGUCUUCGGAUUGUAAACUCCUGUUGUUGAGGAAGAUAAUGACGGUACUCAACAAGGAAGUGACGGCUAACUACGUGCCAGCAGCCGCGGUAAAACGUAGGUCACAAGCGUUGUCCGGAAUUACUGGGUGUAAAGGGAGCGCAGGCGGGAAGACAAGUUGGAAGUGAAAUCCAUGGGCUCAACCCAUGAACUGCUUUCAAAACUGUUUUUCUUGAGUAGUGCAGAGGUAGGCGGAAUUCCCGGUGUAGCGGUGGAAUGCGUAGAUAUCGGGAGGAACACCAGUGGCGAAGGCGGCCUACUGGGCACCAACUGACGCUGAGGCUCGAAAGUGUGGGUAGCAAACAGGAUUAGAUACCCUGGUAGUCCACACUGUAAACGAUGAUUACUAGGUGUUGGAGGAUUGACCCCUUCAGUGCCGCAGUUAACACAAUAAGUAAUCCACCUGGGGAGUACGACCGCAAGGUUGAAACUCAAAGGAAUUGACGGGGGCCCGCACAAGCAGUGGAGUAUGUGGUUUAAUUCGACGCAACGCGAAGAACCUUACCAAGUCUUGACAUCCUGCGACGGUGCUGGAAACAGUGCUUUCCUUCGGGACGCAGAGACAGGUGGUGCAUGGUUGUCGUCAGCUCGUGUCGUGAGAUGUUGGGUUAAGUCCCGCAACGAGCGCAACCCUUAUGGUCAGUUACUACGCAAGAGGACUCUGGCCAGACUGCCGUUGACAAAACGGAGGAAGGUGGGGAUGACGUCAAAUCAUCAUGCCCUUUAUGACUUGGGCUACACACGUACUACAAUGGCGUUAAACAAAGAGAAGCAAGACCGCGAGGUGGAGCAAAACUCAGAAACAACGUCCCAGUUCGGACUGCAGGCUGCAACUCGCCUGCACGAAGUCGGAAUUGCUAGUAAUCGCAGAUCAGCAUGCUGCGGUGAAUACGUUCCCGGGCCUUGUACACACCGCCCGUCACACCAUGAGAGCCGGGGGGACCCGAAGUCGGUAGUCUAACCGCAAGGAGGACGCCGCCGAAGGUAAAACUGGUGAUUGGGGUGAAGUCGUAACAAGGUAGCCGUAGGAGAACCUGCGGCUG
rnacentral:rRNA from 1 species